AUGAUAUAUGGAUCCAUGAAAAAUUCAAACAUCUAUUUUAGCCAACUGAACACAUUGGCUGUGCAACUAAACAUGCAUGCUGGACAACUGAUAUAUGCAGAGGGAGCAGAAAAAUCUGAAAAGAGCUCCUUGCGAAACGGAAACCUACAGAUCAUUGCAACAAAACAAAAAGGGAAAAGGGAGUGUGUGGCAGCAUCCAAAAACAAGGGAAAAAUGCUUGAUCUCAAUGAGUUGCCUCCAGAUCUCAAUGAGCUUCCUCAUGAUAUGGAUCAGCAGCAUCCCAGCAUGCAACAAGGAAACUGCACAGAAAACGGUCGAUCUGUUUACUACACGCAGGCAAGUCGUGAUGGUAACCCUACGGGCCAUGACAAUGUGGCAGGCCAGUCAUCAGCCCGUGGUGCCCCUGUAGUGGUGUCUUUGCAGUCAGAGAGCCAUACUCUUGAUGACACAGGAACCGAGGCAAACGUUCCUGGUCCAACCAGGACUGAGCUGGAAGCUGGGGCUUUUGACAGAGCUGUGCAAGUAGAAGAAGGAGAGGAUGAGGACGGUGAUGCCAACCCUCAAAGACCUCCUCCCCCGCCAGGCCCAACUAGCAGUGCCCUUUGUGCUACUCCCAAUGGACCUACAGGCAGGACUCAGGGGGCUCAUAACCCAGGCGACUACAAUCCAAGUACCAUGACAGGCCGUGCUACUGCAGGUGAUCGUGACGGUCCUACUGCCCCGUUGGAGGCUGCAUCCCUUGCACAAGCUUCUGAUGAUUUUGUGCCCAGGGAUCCUCCAAGGUCUACUACAAAGGGUAGGGCAAAGAGUCGACGGUACAAAUCGGCGCUGGAGCUACACCCAAAGAAGAAAAACAAAUGCAGCCAGUGCCAAUCUACAGAGGACACUGCUGGUGUGUGUCCACAGAGGCUCCUAUGA
rnacentral:rRNA from 1 species